rnacentral:rRNA from 1 species
GAUGAACGCUGGCGGCGUGCCUAAUACAUGCAAGUCGAGCGAACAGACGAGGAGCUUGCUCCUCUGACGUUAGCGGCGGACGGGUGAGUAACACGUGGAUACCCUACCUAUAAGACUGGGAUAACUUCGGGAAACCGGAGCUAAUACCGGAUCAUAUAUUGAACCGCAUGGUUCAUUAGUGAAAGACGGUUUUGCUGUCACUUAUAGAUGGAUCCGCGCCGCAUUAGCUGGUUGGUGAGGUACCGGCUUACCAAGGCAACGAUGGGUAGCCGUCGUGAGAGGGUGAGCGACGACACGGGAACUGGCACACGGACCAGACUCCUACGGGUGCGAGCAGCAGGAGUAGGGAAGAAAGGGCCGAAGUUGUGACGCAGCAACAGCCAGGGAGUGAGGAAGGACAUCGGAUUGUGAGUCGCUGUUAGCAGGGUAGAGCAGAUGAGAUACUAGUGCGGCACGUAUUGAGGGUACCUAGGCAGAAAGCCACGGCUAACUACGUG